rnacentral:misc_RNA from 1 species
AACGCACAUUGCGCCCCCUGGUAUUCCGGGGGGCACACCUGUUCGAGCGCCAUUUCUACCCUGGAGCCCUGCUCUGUGAUGGGCCCCGUCCUCGCGGACGGGCCCGAAACCCGUGGGCGCCGUCGUCCGGCCCUGAGCGUAGCAAGAGAAAUCCCUCGCUCGGAGUGCCUGUCGGUCGGCCGCCCCGAAACCCAUUUUUACAAGGUUGGCCUCGGAUCAGGUGGGGAUACCCGCUGAACUUAA